CACUCACAUGGAAAGAGAAGAGAGAGAAGUAGAGGCAAGGGGACAGAAGAAAUAAGGAGGGGCGAGGAAAAAUGACAGUGACACAGUGAAGUAAAAAGAGGAGGGAGAGUGAGCAUGAAGAGA